CCUACGGGUGGCAGCAGUAGGGGAUUUUGCGCAAUGGGCGAAAGCCUGACGCAGCAACACCGCGUGAAUGUUAAGCCCUUCGGGGUGUAAAGUUCUGUCAAUAGGGACGAAUUUUGACUGUACCUAUAAAGGAAGCACCGGCUAAAUCCGUGCCCGCAGCCGCGGUAAUACGGGGGGUGCAAGCGUUGUCCGGAAUCAUUGCGCGUAAGGCGUUCGUAGGCGGCAAGUUAGGUCUACUGUUAAAGCCCGGGGCUCAACUCCGGUUCGGCAUUGGAUACUAUCUAGCUAGAAGUUGAUAGAGGUAAAGGGAAUUGCUGGUGUAGCGGUGAAAUGCGUAGAUAUCAGGAGGAACAUCGGUGGCGAAAGCGCUUUACUGGACCAUUAUUGACGCUGAGGAACGAAAGCCAGGGGAGCAAAUGGGAUUAGAUACCCUGGUAGUC
rnacentral:rRNA from 1 species